rnacentral:tRNA from 1 species
GGCAUUGGGAAACAACGGGAAAGGCCGUCUGACAAAUUCAUAAUCUGUAGGUCACAGGUUCGAUUCCUGUCGGGAUCACCA